AUCCAGGGUGAGAGGAUUCACCCUAGACCGGCCCACCCAGGCACAAAAUAUUGGACAAGGGCAAGCUGACCACCAGCCGCGUGAGUGAUGAAGGCCUUAGGGUGUAAAGUCUUUCACGUGAAGAUAAGACGGUAGUCGGAGAAGAAGCCCCGGCUAACUUCGUGCCAGCAGCCGGCGAAGGGGGCAGCUUUCGAAUUACUGGGGUAAAGCGCACGUAGGCGGAUAUUUAAGUCAGGGGUGAAAUCCCGCAACUGCGGAAUAUCUUGAGUAUGGAAGAGGUAAGUGGGGAUAGAAUUCGGAGGAACACCAGGCGGCCUUCGACG
rnacentral:rRNA from 1 species